AGAGUUUGAUCUUGGCUCAGGACGAACGCUGGCGGCGUGCCUAACACAUGCAAGUCGAACGGGGUUGAGUGCUUCGGUAUUCAACCUAGUGGCGAACGGGUGAGUAACGCGUGAAGAACCUGCCUUUCAGUGGGGGACAACAGUUGGAAACGACUGCUAAUACCGCAUGACACUUCUGAGUGGCAUCACUUAGAAGUCAAAGCUUUAUGUGCUGAAAGAUGGCUUCGCGUCUGAUUAGCUAGUUGGCGGGGUAACGGCCCACCAAGGCGACGAUCAGUAGCCGGUCUGAGAGGAUGAACGGCCACAUUGGGACUGAGAUACGGCCCAGACUCCUACGGGAGGCAGCAGUGGGGAAUAUUGGGCAAUGGGGGAAACCCUGACCCAGCAACGCCGCGUGAAGGAAGAAGGCCUUCGGGUUGUAAACUUCUUUUACCAGGGACGAAGGACGUGACGGUACCUGGAGAAAAAGCAACGGCUAACUACGUGCCAGCAGCCGCGGUAAUACGUAGGUUGCAAGCGUUGUCCGGAUUUACUGGGUGUAAAGGGCGUGUAGGCGGAGAUGCAAGUUGGGAGUGAAAUCCAUGGGCUCAACCCAUGAACUGCUCUCAAAACUGUAUCCCUUGAGUAUCGGAGAGGCAAGCGGAAUUCCUAGUGUAGCGGUGAAAUGCGUAGAUAUUAGGAGGAACACCAGUGGCGAAGGCGGCUUGCUGGACGACAACUGACGCUGAGGCGCGAAAGCGUGGGGAGCAAACAGGAUUAGAUACCCUGGUAGUCCACGCUGUAAACGAUGAAUACUAGGUGUGGGAGGACUGACCCCUUCCGUGCCGCGGUU
rnacentral:rRNA from 1 species